AUGUCUCCCCGUCUCUGUUCACCGUCUGCCCUGGCCUGUCUCCCCCUCUCUGUUCACCGUCUGCCCUGGCUUGUCUCCCCCUCUCUGUUCACCGUCUGCCCUGGUCUGUCUCCCCCUCUCUGUUCACCAUCUGCCCUGGUCUGUCUCCCCCUCUCUGUUCACCGUCUGCCCUGGCCUGUCUCCCCCUCUCUGUUCACCGUCUGCCCUGGCUUGUCUCCCCCUCUCUGUUCACCGUCUGCCCUGGUCUGUCUCCCCCUCUCUGUUCACCGUCUGUCCUGGCCUGUCUCCCCCUCUCUAUUCACCGUCUGUCCUGGCCUGUCUCCCCCUGUCUGGUACAGGUCCCCCACCACACUCCCCCUCUCUGUUCACCGUCUGCCCUGGCCUGUCUCCCCCUCUCUGUUCACCGUCUGCCCUGGCCUGUCUCCCCUGUCUGGUACAGGUCCCCCACCACACUCCGCUUUCGCUCACCUCCAGCACACAGACACUGUUGGGGCGAGUGACUCUGAACUUACAAUGGCUAGCCCCAAGUCGUUAUUUUUUAUCUUGUGCUUUAUACCAUUUGCCUCAGGACUCCUGAAUGCUUUGUUGACUAUGAACGUUCUCGUUUACCUUACCAUGGGACAGACUGUUUGUUCCCACACUCGGGACUCUGACUCUCUAUUGGUUACACAGACUUUUGGCCUCCCAUCCUAUUCUAACUACCUCUCGUCUUCAUGUUACCUGAUGACAUUGCUGUACAAAUUGAUCUUGUUGCCAUCUGAUGCACAUUCAGAUGCCAUAAAUCAGCACUGCAGAGCUCUCCCUGUCCUCUGCCAUGCCCUGAUUGUAUUACUGUUGAUGAUAUCUGGAAAUGUGUAUGUACACCCUGGCCCAUCUACUGUUGCUAGCACCAAUUCUGACUGGUGCUCUGAUAUCUGCAUCACUGAUUUCUGCUCUCAUAAAUGCCUGGGUUUUCUGCACGUUAACAUUAGAAGCUUAUUACCUAAAAUGGAUCAAUUGAAAGUGUGGGUUCACAGCUCCAAUCCAGAUGUGUUGGUCAUUACUAAGAUGUGGUUAAGGAAGAGUGUUUUGAAUACUGAUGUUACCUUUCUGGUUAUAACCUUUUUCAGCAAGACAGAUCUUCCAAAGGUGGUGGAGCGGCAAUCUUUACCAAGGAUCACCUUCAGUGCUCGGUUGUCUCCACCAAGUCUGUCCCCAAACAAUUUGAUUUGCUGGUUUUAA
rnacentral:lncRNA from 8 species